UACCUCUCAGACAGGGAAAAGAUGAUGCGC
rnacentral:piRNA from 1 species